UAUAUAUUGAGACACCUAUUAUUAGAGAAAAAACUGCGGUCAAGUUUGGCUUGUGCCACUUCACAAAUCUUAACAGAAAGUGGGAUUAAAAGAGCAUACUAAUUAGAAACAGAGCUAUUAAAUUAUCUUUUGUUGAGAGUAAAUUAGUAUGAAACAGGAGGAAAUUAUGUCAUUAGCGAAGAAUAAUGCUGCUAAACUACUGGCGAUCAUCAGUUAGUGAGGCUCUAACUUUGUUAUCAGAUCUGUAAUGGAGUAAAAUCCGCGCAUGUUUGAUCUUAUGCCAGUCUUCUCCUAUGUUUUCUCUGCAGCGUUCACUUAAUUUUGGACACUAAGUAAUCUCAACUUUCAUCAGAGACUUGACUUUUUUGAUCCCAUUUGGCAGCUCAUUCAGACCCUUGCAGCUCUCAAUGCAAAGGUGCUGGAGUUCUGUCAAGCUACUGAUCCACUCAGGCAGUUCUCUUAGUGUGGGACACUCUGAUAUCGACAGUGAUUUGAGACUUUGAACGAACUUCAGUCCUUCAGGAAGAGUCUCCAUCUUUGGGAUAUCUUGGAGUAUUAAAUGGCGAAGACAUUUCAAUGAUGCCCAUGGAUUUCUUGAGCUUUCAUUGAGAUAAUGAACUAAUAUGCUUGAUAUUCUUGACAUGGUGCCACUGUUGCCAGAUACACUACUUCCGUUAUUUGAAAGAUCGAGUUCUUUGCAUCUGGAGAUCUCCAACUUUUCUAGGGAGGUGCUCUGAUACCAAGAAACUUAAUUCAUUACACCUUUCAAUUACGAGUUGUUUUAGGCUAGGAAGGCCUCCGAGCCCCUCUCUGACUGCUUUGAAGUUCUUCAAAUGGUGUAAUUUCUUAAUCUGCAGGUCAAGGUCUAAAACUUCGUUGAACAAAGGCAUAGAAGUCAGCUUUGGGCAGUUCCAUAUCUUUAAUUUUGUAAGACAAGUAAAUGAUGGAGCCUCUUCUUGCUGCUCUGCCGUAACCAAAACUUCUUGUUGCCACCUUUCCAGCUUGUAGAAGUUGUAUAGGCCAUGUGUCCAAGUGUGAGUUGUCUGAGCUUCGGAAGUUCCCCAAAUGGUGGAAGAUGCUCACAUUGGUCACAUCCCUCAAUGUUGAUAACCUCUAAGUUUGGUGGAUGAGCCAACAUAGUAUUUCUCUUCGCCCAGCUGGGAAAGUUGUUUCCCCGAUAUCCUUCUAUGCGGAGAAUUUUCAGAUCUGAAUUUGUUGGAGUUUUUCAAGAAGCUGCAUGUAAGAUGAUAUGUCUGGAUUGGUUUUGUCCAACAUAUCUGUAACUUCUCCAAGUGGGCUUGCAUCACUACCUUUGGAGCUUUUGGUAUAUUGGUUGCCCAUUUUCCUGAUAGCUUGAUCAGCAGCUGUCCUCUCAAGCUCGUCAGUCUUCUCAGAGCAUGUAGUUCUGUAGAGCAAUCCUUCCCAACAAUAAACCGGCUCAGUGACUCAAGCUGAAUCAAAUUCUCUAAACCGAGAGGCAUACAUGUCAAGCUAUAACACUCAUCAAUCUCAAAACGUCUAAGAUUGAUUAAUCGUCCGAAGUUCCCAGACAAUUUCGCAAGCCACAUGCACGAGUUAAGUUUUAGUGUUUGCAAGUUGUAAAUCUCUGCGACUGACUUUGGAAGAGUGACAAGACCAUUCUUAGAAAGAUCAAGAUAUCUCAGAUGAAUGAGCUUGUCAACUGAUUCGGGCAGUUCCUCUAUUCCCUGAUAUUGCAAGUCCAGCACAAGGUAUAUCAACUUAGAAACCAGUGUAUUACAUACUGAUGUAUCCAUCUUUGUGUGACUAUCUGAUUCGUUGACUAAAAUAAGUGUGCGCAAAUUUAGCUCUUGCAAUAGGUAUGAUGGAGUUUGUACCGAAGAAUCUCGAACACGGAUGAGAGUAACAUGUUAGUGUUUUGAAUCCAAAACCUGGUUGGCACUUGAAUCGGUCGCAUACAUGUUUACAUUCACUCCAUCUGUAUACUGACAGGCCAGUUUAUGCAUAAUGGUUUCAUCUUACAGGUCACAAUGUUCCCCAAUUCAUCGGUGCUUACAACUUCAAAGAAGCAGCGCCGCAGAAACUCAAAGAAAUACUUCUCUGCAGCUUCUUUCAAACUGGGGCUAUCUUCUUUGUCAAUGUAUCCUUGUGUGGCCCAGAGGCUAAUCAAAUCGUGCUUGUUGAAAGUAAAGUCUUCAGGAAACAACGAACAAUAACUAAAGCAAGCCUUGAGACGAGUAGGAAGAUAUGAGUAGUUCAGAUGUAAGACUUGUUCCAUGAUGUUCCUAUUAUCUUCAUCAAGCAUGUGCGGAAAUUCAUAGAAUGAGUUCCAUUCGUUGAUGCUUUGCUGUCCUUUAAGAAGCCUUGCUGCAACCUUUAUGGUAAUUGGAACACCUUUGCAAAGUCUGGUAAUUUUAUUUCCUAGCUCUUCCUUUUCAUUGUCCCUUGGAUCGUCCUUUUUAAAUGCAUUCGUUUGGAACAUAGAUCUAGAAUCCGUCACACCUAGGCCUUCUAAUUUGUACUCCCUCCAUCCCGUCGAAUUUGCUUCCUUUAGUUGCUGCUCUAUGUUUGCAAUUCGCCUAAACAUGACUUCCCCUUGCACCUCCUGCCAACAAUCUCAUCAAGGACUGCCAAGUUAUAAGAGAGGCAUCAUCUGGGACGAGUAAAAAGAAUUUUCCCUUGAUCUCUUUUCGAAGUCGGUUCUCAGACAGUUCAACUUCAUUCCUUGUAUUACCACUAGGAGGAAUUGCUAACGUAUCAGUACUUUUACAUCGUAACAUAUCUCUAAAGCGGGUAUUGGAAGUCUUGGUUACAAUUGGAAGUCGUUUAUCAGAUGUAGACUUCCAUUUUGUACAAGACUUCUCAAUUUUCUGAAUAAUUUAUGCUUCAUCAGUAAUCUGUGAUACCCGAAUCCAGAUUUUCAGAUCAAAAUGAUUCUUAACCUCUUCAUCACCAUACACACAUUUAGCCAAAGUUGACUUCCCUGCUUCUGGUAAUCCGACUAUGUGUGUCACAGAAACAUUGCUGUUACGACUCUCUGUAUUUGGUUGCAGAAGCAUCUUUACAAUGUUAUCUUUAUCGGUUCGCCUACCUACAACUUUGUUUUCGUCAGACUCAAAAUCGGGAAAAUUCAUUGGAAGAAGAAUCUCAACUAGAUCAUUAACAUUUCCCAACUCGUCUCCUGAUUCUCCGAUCUGUCGGCUAAUCCUCACGAGUUGUUGACCUAUUUUUGUGGGUAUACCAAAUGGAUUACGACUUGAUAAGAAGAACCUACGAGUCAUGAUGAAUGACAGGAGUUUGUCCACUCCAUCAUCGGCUUGAUAGAGCAAUGCCCCAAGGGUUCUGAUCCUGUUAUCAAUGGGAUCAUCUUCAUACAGUGCUGUCAUGGCAUUAUUCAGAUCCUCUAAAGUUGCGUUUGUGUUUCUGUAUUCUAUUGUAUACAUUGCAUUUUUUGCCUUAAGUCGAUGAAUCCUUCAAUUUUCUGAGUGCUUCCCCUUCAAGGAGCAGGGAAACAUUGUCCGCUAUGAUUUUUAGAAGGUUCUCCCACACAAUAACUACUUCAAUUGCCAGUUUGUUGAUUGAAGGUGAAGCUUAAGAAGGAAGAAAGAAUACUAUCCAGGAUUAUAAUAGUUAUUGGGCAAGCGACUACAAAAAAGAACGCUAAUUGCUUUAAUGGUUGCUAAAUAAAUAUUAUUUUCAUACCAUUUGAUCGAGUAGUUUGGCUAUUCAUAAUAAGGCCAAAGAUUUAUAUUCUUUAAUUUAGAUCAUAAUAUAUGAUUUACUAUAUGAAUCAAAUUGUUAGUCUUUUAAAAAUAAUUACAGUAGAAAGAUGAAAGUAGCGGAAAUGCGAGUUUUGAUGGUUGUGCAAGCAUGAUUAAAUAUGUAACGAGGAAGGGAUUAGGAGUUACAGAUAUUCCAUAAAAGAAAA